rnacentral:lncRNA from 1 species
AGGAAUAGCAUCGAGCAGUGAGAGUUCGCCGUUGCGAUUCGAAGUUUAAUGAACGAGUACGACUACCGGCCUCAUUGGCGCUCUAAGCUUUUGGACUAUAAAGCUAUAGAAUUCAUUAUAAUAUAUUUUUGUGACAGAUAUAAAAGUACGGCCUACUCAAGCGGACCAGACUCUUACAAAGUAAAUCAAGCAAUACGUUAUAAGCAACAAAACCUGAUCUAUGUUACAUUGAAAGACACAUACAUAUGUAGAUAUGUACACCGAAACAAAGUUAGGUUUGCAGCGCUCCUGAUUGCUAUUAAAGUCAAAUGCAUCUACAACCAUCAAACGGUUGCCUAUAUCGGAAGCAAUAGAAGUGGAAAUUCAAAGCAGUUCGUGGGCUGUGCUUGUGUUUUGCGCUCGUAAGAAUCUGUGCAAUGUUAAAAUUUGUAACUUUUAGAAUUUCUAUGUGCUAGUGGUUUUACGAAAAUUCAUUAUAAGUUCGACAUUAGAGGAUAGAUAUCAACUCCGGGAUACCGAAUGUCUUUGUCAAAAUUUCAUAUGCAUAUGUACUUAUAUUAGAAGACACUAAAGUUGGCAAACAACGCAACUUACACCGUAAAAGUGACAAAGCUAGCUUCCUAGAUAUGAGAACUGACUACUAAUAGCCGACAAGUCAGCGAUGCAUCGUAACUGUUAGUAAUCACAGACUAACAGAGCGGAAUAGCUUUUGCACAUAAAAAAUGGAAUGCGAAAGUAACGGAGGAUAAAUAAAACAUAAUCACACUGCAAUAAGCGGGUGGUUGACCCAAAGACAAUGCACAGACAACAACAGAUCAAUUAUAAGAGAAAUAUGAGCGCUAAAGCCGUGCGCAUCAUGUCAGCUUUCAAUUGAAAAGUUGCACUGUGGACUAAUAUAAUAUAUAUACACUGCUACUGAAUGAAAGAAAAAUCAGUUUGUAUAUACGUAGGCUCUUAAGUGUCAAAUGUUGAUAAUGACCAAACUAAUGAUGACCAUGAUGAUGGUGGUGUUGGGUCAGUUACUACAAAGCUCCUUGAAAUAUAAUUCAGUGAACUGUAACUAAACGAAUAAAGCUGAGAGCGAGGUGAGAGCUAAAGGCUCUGCCGAGUGUGGCCCUGAAUGCUUGGAUGUUGCUGAAUUACGAAAAGUAACGAGUAGGUGUAAUGGUGGUUGAAUGGCGUCAGCGAAGGCAAUACUUUUUGGACGGUGGAGAUAAACGGGGUGUUCAGGGACUCACUGCGCCAAUCAGUCCGGGUUACAAUUUUAAUAAAAUAAGGAAACCAAUAAUGUC